CCCGCUUCCCCUUCCUCCCCCCUCCCCCCUUUAACUGUAUGCCUCCUUAUCUCUCUGUCAGCGAUUGAGUCCCCGCCCGCGUGUGUGUGUGUGUGUGUGUGUUACCUGGCUUAAAGGGCCGUGUGUGGUUGAUGACCUUACCUGUUAAUUAAUAAGCCCGGGGAAGGUAUAUCAUUUACCUCCAUUCUCACCUGCUUACCUCCACCUCUCUCCUCCCUCUCUACCUUCCCUCCUCCACCUUCCCUCCUAUCUUCAUCCUUCAUUGACUUUUCUACCUCCCUUCUUCCUUCCUCCUUUACCUCCUUUCCUUUUUUUUCCCUCUUUUUUUUUUUUAUCUCACAUACAUUCAAUCUCUCCCUACCUCUCCGUCUCCCUAUUCUUUCUCCACCUAUCCUUACCUCCCUCUCCUUCCCUUUUCUCACUCUUAUUCAACUUUCUUCCUUCUUUUCCCUCUUUCUACAUCCUUUCUUAGCUUUCUUUCUUCCUAUUUUUGUUGUUUCCCUUCCCAUGUCUUUCUGCACCUUCCUCCCUUUGCCUUUUUCUCCCUUUCUUCCCUUCUCCCUUCCUUCAUUCCUCUGUUACAUUCUCCCUCUUCUAUCUCCCUACCUCUUUCCUCUUUUAUCUCCUUCCCUCUCUCUCCCUCCAUGUCGACCACUUACCUCUUCUCCCUCCUCCCUUUCUUCCUCUCCCUCUUCUCCUCCCUCCCUUCCUCCACGUAGACAAGGGAGGAGAAGGGAACGAAGAAGGGAGACAAACGUGACUGACCUGACCUCACCAAGUCUGAUGUAAUGCACGCAAGAGGGUGGGGAGGGGGUUCUCUCUCUCUCUCUCUCUCUCUCUCGAAUUAAAAGGCAGUAAAGAGGAGGGUCAGUUAAAGGGCCCUUGAGGAAUUAAAAGGCAAGGUCGCUAGCGUUGGUGAAUCUUACAAGACGUGGAAGAGAGACGGAAGAUGCUGGGUAACUCUUGGGUUCUCUACAGGUUGUGAAAGUUCUUGUUUACUGUAAUGGUGAAGCUGUUAGAUGAUGAUGAGGAAGAGGAAGAAAGAUGAAGUAAAAACAAAGAAAGAGAACAAGGGGAUGAGGUAACCAUUGAAGAAGUAAAGAAUGAGGAGGAAAAAGAAAAACAAGAAGAGUUAGAACAAGAACAAGAGGAGGGAAUGUGUAAUGGUGAGGCUGUUAAAUGAUGAAGAUGAAGAGGAAGAAAGAUGAAGUAGAAAACAAGGGAAAAGAACAAGGGGAGAAGGUAACCAUGGAAGAAGUAUAGAAGGAGGAAAGAGAAAAACAAGAAGAGUAAGAACAAGAACAAGAAGAGGAGGUGGUCACAUGGGAAGUAAUAAAACAGAAAAGGCAGAAACAAAAGGAACAAGUUCGUGUUUACUAUUAUGGUGUGGUUGAAGAAGAAGAAGAAGAAGUAGCGUAACAGAGAAGGAUAAACAAGAACGAAAGCAAGAACAAGAACAAGAAGAGGAAGUAACCAUAAAAGGAAGAUACAAAGGAAGGAGGAAGAGGAAAAUAACAAUAAGGAAAAUGAAGUGGAGAAGCAGAAGAAAACUAACAAAAAUGAAAACAAAAACAAUAACAACAAGAACAAGACGAAGACAAAAGAAAGACAGAAGUAGGAAGAGGAAAAAAAUAAUAAGAAUAUGGAGAGUUAGAAAAGAAGGAAGGAAAGAGAGAAAAGGAAGAGGAAGAAGAAUGUAGGCAAGGCAAGAGUUAGACGCUGCCCCAUAGAAGAGGAAAGACGACAGACAAAUCAAAGUUCCAAUAAGUCGUCAUCUGGCAACACUGAUCAUUCGAAGGCUCAGUAAUUUUUUUUAUUUUUUUUUACGUAGUUUUAUUUCUCGGAGUAAACGACAAACGAAAGCCAAAAAAGGAAAGACAUUGUAGAAAUUUUACCAACAAUGGUCAGUAAGAGGUUCAGUUAUACAUUUUAUAUUUAUUUAUUAUUAUUAUUUUUAUGUGUGUGUGUGUGUGUGUGUGUGUGUGUGUGUGUGUGUGUGUGUGUGUGUGUGUGUGUGUGUGUGUGUGUGUGUGUGUGUGUGUGUUACUAAUCACGAGACGGAGCAAGAGCAAAACACAGCCCCAUGAAUAAUAAAAAUAAAUUAAUGAAUAAAUAAAAAAAAUAAAGGAGAGGAAAGACUGAUACAUUUAAACUCCAAACAAAGGCGUAUCGAUGUUAUAUUCUUGAGAUGAUCGACGUUGUUAAGAAAUAGCUCACAUACCUUUACUUACCUUCGCCACUGUUAUUACGUCACGGACUCAACCACAGUAACACACACACACACACACACACACACACACACACACACACACACACACACACACACACACACACACACACAC